AUUGCACGCUAGCGGGAUGCUUUACACAUGCAAGUCGAACGAGUGGCGGACGGGUGAGUAAUAUAUCGGAACGUGCCCCGUAGCGGGGGAUAACUACUCGAAAGAGUGGCUAAUACCGCAUACUCUUGGAGCCGCCGAUAUCGGAUUAGCUAGUUGGUGGGGUAAAGGCUCACCAAGGCAACGAUCCGUAGCUGGUUUGAGAGGAGGACCAGCGAGACUGGGACGGAGACACGGCCCAGAGUGCUACGGGAGGCAGCAGUGGGGAAUGUUGGAAAAUGGGGGAAAGCCUGAUGCAGCCAGCCCGAGUGUAGGAGAAGGGCUUAGGGUUGUAAAGGACUUUUGGCAGAGAAGCGGUAGCUGAAGAAUAAGCACCGGCUAACUACGUGCCAGCAGCCGCGGUAAUAC
rnacentral:rRNA from 1 species